GUGAAGAGGUUCUCUUUGCUGCCAAGACUCUCACAGUGAGCACAGUUUUUACCUGGUUUUGUGUCUUGUGCAGCACCACACUGAAUGUACUGCCACGAUGCCGCCUUUACAAGCCGCAAAUUGUAGGCCAACAGUGUGUCAGUGCAAAUUCACCAGUGCAGUGUUUUGAGUGAAGCUCCAUCAUUGAGACAGACCUCCGGUUCAGCCAUGUUAAAACGCAUACAGAAACAGUGUUUUCAAAGUCGUUCUACCCCGUGAAAUGAGACCACGUAAACGGGAAGGAAGGAAGGAGUACGUUUGAGAGCGAGAAUAAUAAUUUAUAAACCGUUUUUACCUUCUAUCGUAACUGGUAAUGCAAGGUCACUAAAUAAUAAAAUGGAUGAACUCUGUGCAAAUGUUAGGUUUCUGCACGAGUACAGAGAGGCCUCGCUUAUUUGUUUUAGUGAGACGUGGUUCAAGGACAGUGUGUCUACUAACAGUGUGGACAUUGACGGAUUCCAUCUGGUGCGUUGUGACAGUACGAUUGACUCUAACAAAGAACGAGACGGAGGAGUGUGUGUGUGUGUAUGUGAACGAGAAGUGUUGUAGUCGUAAUGAUAUUCAUGUUAAACUCCAAUUGUGUACACCUGAUAUUGAAUGUCUAACUGUUGUUACUCGCCAGUAGUAUCUACCGAGGGAAUUUCCUAAGAUAACAACUAACAUUGUUUUUAUUCCACCACAAGCCAAUGUUUAAGUUGCCACGGACACUUUGGUCGAAAUGAUUCACGAACAACAGUCUUCUUGUCCUGACGGUGUAAUAGUAAUCACUGGGGAUUUUAACAAAUGCUCUUUAACUUCUGCCCUCCCCACUUUCCACCAAUAUGUUAAUGUACCAACCCGGGAGGACAAAACUAUUGACCAUUGUUAUGUAAAUUUUUCUAAUGCCUACAAAUGUAUAUCUCUACCUCCAAUAGGAAACUCCGAUCAUUGCAGGUCUCUUUUAUUACCGAAGUACAAACUUAAAUUAAAAUCUUCAAAGCCAAUUUAAAAAGUUGUCAGCAUCUGGAGUGAAGAAAACAGGGAGAGCCUGAGAGGUUGCUUUGAAUGUACGAAUUGGAAUUGUUUUUAAAGAUUCAGGUAAUAGUAUAGAUGAAUUAUGUGAGACUAUCGCUGGUUACAUCAGAUUUUGUGAAGACCUACAUUCAUCUAAAAAAGAAGUUAUCUACUACCCAAAUAACAAGCCAUGGGUUAGCAAGGAGUUAAAGGAAAUAUUAAAUGAGAAGAAGAAGGCAUUCAAACUGAAAGACCAAAACUAAUUAAAAACAACAAAUAAUAUGUUAAAGAAAAAGAUAAGAGUGUAAGCACGUUUACAAAGAAAAGUUAGAACAACAUUUCACUACUAACAACACAAAAAUGACGUGGCAAAGUUUAAAAACUAUAGUUGGAGACAUACCAAGACGGACAAACAUUCCUACACAAGACAUGAACCCAAGUCAGUAUGUAGACAAACUGAAUUCUUUUUACGCUCGUUUUGACAACCACGAUUUCUCCGACCAGCUGACAACUGUCAAAGAGACGAUUCAAAAUGACCGCACAGACGAUUGCAACAACAACAACAACAACACAGACGAAGACAGUGACAAGAGCAAGGACAUUUUUGUGGUUAAUGUUAAUGAGGUCAAGAUCAUGUUUAAUCGUCUGAAAGCUCACAAAGCGAGUGGACCAGAUGGAGUAAAAAGUAAAAUUAUUAAAUUGUGUUCUACUCAGUUAUCUCCCAUUUAUACUGAUAUUUUCAAUAUGUCUUUAAAAAAACGAAUAAUACCACUCUCAUGGAAAUGCUCUGAAAUAAUUCCUGUCUCAAAGAAUCAAUCAAUACAAAAUUUGAACGACCUCAGACCUGUCGCUUUAACAUCAGUCCUCAUGAAAUGUUUAGAAAAACUGGUUUUGAAAGAACUGAGAAAAUAAACACAAGACAUACAGGAUAACAUGCAAUUUGCCUAUCGUGCCAAGAGGGGCGUGGAGGAUGCCAUUCUCGUGUUCUUAGAUAACAUCUACAAA
rnacentral:lncRNA from 1 species